rnacentral:tRNA from 2 species
UCUCGAUUGGUCUAGUGGUCAGGAUACCUGCUUGUCAUCGCACAAGUUCGCAGGUGGCCGGGGUUCGAUUCCCCGAUCGAGAG